GGGUAACUCACCGGUUCGAAACCAACCAAUAAAGUGUUACAUUCAUUUGAGUUGGCUAUUAUUCUCUGUACCUCUCUUAAUUCCUUUUUAUUUUUUUGGCCUUGCAGAAAUUUGUUCUGUAUAAAUUGGUGAUAUUUCCUCUCAAACUUUAAAAUUUGUGGCUUUUGAACAAUUAUAUGGGAAACUGUUUGGAUAAGGAUCUGUAGCUGUUAGGUUAGACGGGUAAUAAGCAAGAAUAGGGACAAAAAAUAGUAGGAUGCAACAAUUGAUGAAAAACUAUGUAAGAAUUAGAAAAGGGCAAUAUAUUACUUUUUCUUAACUGUUCAAAAAGAUCUAAAUAUUAGAAAUGAUCAAUGGUUCCGAUUACACUGCCUAGGCAACUAACGAAAACAAAUUUCUUGUUGUAGCUUGUAGAUAGCUA